UGGGGAAUCUUGGACAAUGGGCGCAAGCCUGAUCCAGCCAUGCCGCGUGUGUGAAGAAGGCCUGCGGGUUGUAAAGCACUUUUCGGUGGGAACGAAAUAUGCCGGGCUAAUACCCCGGUAGGCUGACGUUACUCAAAGAAUAAGCACCGGCUAACUCUGUGCCAGCAGCCGCGGUAAUACAGAGGGUGCAAGCGUUAAUCGGAAUGACUGGGCGUAAAGGGCGCGUAGGUGGACAUAUAAGUAAAUUGUGAAAGACCCGGGCUUAACCUGGGAAGGUCAAUUUAAACGGUAUGUCUGGAGUGGAGUAGAGGGAAGUAGAAUUUCCGGUGUAGCGGUGAAAUGCGUAGAUAUCGGAAGGAAUACCGGUGGCGAAGGCGUCUUCCUGGACUCUAACUGACACUGAGGCGCGAAAGCAUGGGGAUCAAACAGGAUUAGAUACCCUUGUAGUCCCUGAGCGGGCUGGCAAGGCGCAU
rnacentral:rRNA from 1 species